GAGAUCCCGGUGCUGAAGACCAACGCCGGACCUCGAGAUCGGGAGUUGUGGGUGCAGAGACUCAAGGAGGAAUAUCAGUCUCUUAUACGGUAUGUGGAGAACAACAAGAAUGCGGACAAUGACUGGUUCCGACUGGAGUCCAACAAAGAAGGGACUCGGUGGUUUGGAAAAUGCUGGUACAUCCAUGACCUCCUCAAAUAUGAGUUUGACAUCGAGUUUGAUAUUCCUAUCACAUAUCCCACUACUGCUCCAGAAAUUGCAGUACCUGAACUAGAUGGAAAAACAGCAAAGAUGUACAGGGGUGGCAAAAUAUGCCUGACCGAUCACUUUAAGCCUUUGUGGGCCAGGAAUGUGCCUAAGUUUGGACUAGCUCAUCUCAUGGCUCUGGGGCUGGGACCAUGGCUGGCAGUGGAAAUCCCCGAUCUGAUUCAGAAGGGAGUGAUUCAGCAUAAAGAGAAAUGCAGCCAAUGAAGGA